rnacentral:tRNA from 1 species
GCCGACGUAGCUCAGCAGGCAGAGCGGCGCACUCGUAAUGCGCAGGUCACCGGUUCGAUCCCGGUCGUCGGCUCCA